rnacentral:rRNA from 1 species
GCAUAUCAAUAAGCGGAGGAAAAGAAAAUAACAAUGAUUCCCUUAGUAACGGCGAGUGAAGGGGGAAAAGCUCAAAUUUUAAAUCUGCUAGGUUUUACCUGUCAGAAUUGUAAUUUGAAGAAGCGUUUUCCGCGUCUCGGUUGGCCCAAAUCCUUUGGGAUAAGGUAUCAUGGAGGGUGAGAAUCCCGUUCGGUUGACCUUAUGACGCUCUACGAUACGCUCUCUAAGAGUCGAGUUGUUUGGGAUUGCAGCUCAAAAUGGGAGGUAAAUUUCUCCUAAGGCUAAAUAUCGGCGAGAGACCGAUAGCGAACAAGUACCGUGAGGGAAAGAUGAAAAGAACUUUGAAAAGAGAGUAAAAUAGUACGUGAAAUUGUUGAAAGGGAAACGAUUGAAGUCAGUCGUACCGACGAGAAAUCAACUUAUCGUGUGCGAACU